AACGAACGCUGGCGGCAGGCUUAACACAUGCAAGUCGAACGAGAUCUUCGGAUCUAGUGGCAGACGGGUGAGGAACACGUGGGAACAUCCCUUUCAGUUCGGAAUAACGUUGGGAAACUAACGCUAAUACCGGAUACGUCCUUCGGGAGAAAGAUUUAUCGCUGAAAGAUUGGCCCGCGUCUGGUUAGCUAGUUGGUGAGGUAACGGCUCACCAAGGCUACGAUCAGUAGCUGAUCUGAGAGGAUGAUCAGCCACAUUGGGACUGAGACACGGCCCAAACUCCUACGGGAGGCAGCAGUGGGGAAUAUUGGACAAUGGGCGCAAACCUGAUCCAGCCAUGCCGCGUGAGUGAUGACGGCCUUCAGGUUGUAAAGCUCGUUUGUCCGGGGAGAUAAUGACUGUACCGGAAGAAUAAGCCCCGGCAAACUUCGUGCCAGCAGCCGCCGUAA
rnacentral:rRNA from 1 species